GGUUAAGCGACUAAGCGUACACGGUGGAUGCCCUGGCAGUCAGAGGCGAUGAAGGACGUGCUAAUCUGCGAUAAGCGUCGGUAAGGUGAUAUGAACCGUUAUAACCGGCGAUUUCCGAAUGGGGAAACCCAGUGUGUUUCGACACACUAUCAUUAACUGAAUCCAUAGGUUAAUGAGGCGAACCGGGGGAACUGAAACAUCUAAGUACCCCGAGGAAAAGAAAUCAACCGAGAUUCCCCCAGUAGCGGCGAGCGAACGGGGAGCAGCCCAGAGCCUGAAUCAGUAUGUGUGUUAGUGGAAGCGUCUGGAAAGGCGCGCGAUACAGGGUGACAGCCCCGUACACAAAAAUGCACAUGCUGUGAGCUCGAUGAGUAGGGCGGGACACGUGGUAUCCUGUCUGAAUAUGGGGGGACCAUCCUCCAAGGCUAAAUACUCCUGACUGACCGAUAGUGAACCAGUACCGUGAGGGAAAGGCGAAAAGAACCCCGGCGAGGGGAGUGAAAAAGAACCUGAAACCGUGUACGUACAAGCAGUGGGAGCACGCUUAGGCGUGUGACUGCGUACCUUUUGUAUAAUGGGUCAGCGACUUAUAUUCUGUAGCAAGGUUAACCGAAUAGGGGAGCCGAAGGGAAACCGAGUCUUAACUGGGCGUUAAGUUGCAGGGUAUAGACCCGAAACCCGGUGAUCUAGCCAUGGGCAGGUUGAAGGUUGGGUAACACUAACUGGAGGACCGAACCGACUAAUGUUGAAAAAUUAGCGGAUGACUUGUGGCUGGGGGUGAAAGGCCAAUCAAACCGGGAGAUAGCUGGUUCUCCCCGAAAGCUAUUUAGGUAGCGCCUCGUGAAUUCAUCUCCGGGGGUAGAGCACUGUUUCGGCAAGGGGGUCAUCCCGACUUACCAACCCGAUGCAAACUGCGAAUACCGGAGAAUGUUAUCACGGGAGACACACGGCGGGUGCUAACGUCCGUCGUGAAGAGGGAAACAACCCAGACCGCCAGCUAAGGUCCCAAAGUCAUGGUUAAGUGGGAAACGAUGUGGGAAGGCCCAGACAGCCAGGAUGUUGGCUUAGAAGCAGCCAUCAUUUAAAGAAAGCGUAAUAGCUCACUGGUCGAGUCGGCCUGCGCGGAAGAUGUAACGGGGCUAAACCAUGCACCGAAGCUGCGGCAGCGACGCUGAUGCGUUGUUGGGUAGGGGAGCGUUCUGUAAGCCUGCGAAGGUGUGCUGUGAGGCAUGCUGGAGGUAUCAGAAGUGCGAAUGCUGACAUAAGUAACGAUAAAGCGGGUGAAAAGCCCGCUCGCCGGAAGACCAAGGGUUCCUGUCCAACGUUAAUCGGGGCAGGGUGAGUCGACCUCUAAGGCGAGGCCGAAAGGCGUAGUCGAUGGGAAACAGGUUAAUAUUCCUGUACUUGGUGUUACUGCGAAGGGGGGACGGAGAAGGCUAUGUUGGCCGGGCGACGGUUGUCCCGGUUUAAGCGUGUAGGCUGGUUUUCCAGGCAAAUCCGGAAAAUCAAGGCUGAGGCGUGAUGACGAGGCACUACGGUGCUGAAGCAACAAAUGCCCUGCUUCCAGGAAAAGCCUCUAAGCAUCAGGUAACAUCAAAUCGUACCCCAAACCGACACAGGUGGUCAGGUAGAGAAUACCAAGGCGCUUGAGAGAACUCGGGUGAAGGAACUAGGCAAAAUGGUGCCGUAACUUCGGGAGAAGGCACGCUGAUAUGUAGGUGAAGUCCCUUGCGGAUGGAGCUGAAAUCAGUCGAAGAUACCAGCUGGCUGCAACUGUUUAUUAAAAACACAGCACUGUGCAAACACGAAAGUGGACGUAUACGGUGUGACGCCUGCCCGGUGCCGGAAGGUUAAUUGAUGGGGUCAGCGCAAGCGAAGCUCUUGAUCGAAGCCCCGGUAAACGGCGGCCGUAACUAUAACGGUCCUAAGGUAGCGAAAUUCCUUGUCGGGUAAGUUCCGACCUGCACGAAUGGCGUAAUGAUGGCCAGGCUGUCUCCACCCGAGACUCAGUGAAAUUGAACUCGCUGUGAAGAUGCAGUGUACCCGCGGCAAGACGGAAAGACCCCGUGAACCUUUACUAUAGCUUGACACUGAACAUUGAGCCUUGAUGUGUAGGAUAGGUGGGAGGCUUAGAAGUGUGGACGCCAGUCUGCAUGGAGCCGACCUUGAAAUACCACCCUUUAAUGUUUGAUGUUCUAACGUUGACCCGUAAUCCGGGUUGCGGACAGUGUCUGGUGGGUAGUUUGACUGGGGCGGUCUCCUCCUAAAGAGUAACGGAGGAGCACGAAGGUUGGCUAAUCCUGGUCGGACAUCAGGAGGUUAGUGCAAUGGCAUAAGCCAGCUUGACUGCGAGCGUGACGGCGCGAGCAGGUGCGAAAGCAGGUCAUAGUGAUCCGGUGGUUCUGAAUGGAAGGGCCAUCGCUCAACGGAUAAAAGGUACUCCGGGGAUAACAGGCUGAUACCGCCCAAGAGUUCAUAUCGACGGCGGUGUUUGGCACCUCGAUGUCGGCUCAUCACAUCCUGGGGCUGAAGUAGGUCCCAAGGGUAUGGCUGUUCGCCAUUUAAAGUGGUACGCGAGCUGGGUUUAGAACGUCGUGAGACAGUUCGGUCCCUAUCUGCCGUGGGCGCUGGAGAACUGAGGGGGGCUGCUCCUAGUACGAGAGGACCGGAGUGGACGCAUCACUGGUGUUCGGGUUGUCAUGCCAAUGGCACUGCCCGGUAGCUAAAUGCGGAAGAGAUAAGUGCUGAAAGCAUCUAAGCACGAAACUUGCCCCGAGAUGAGUUCUCCCUGACUCCUUGAGAGUCCUGAAGGAACGUUGAAGACGACGACGUUGAUAGGCCGGGUGUGUAAGCGCAGCGAUGCGUUGAGCUAACCGGUACUAAUGAACCGUGAGGCUUAACCUU
rnacentral:rRNA from 1 species